UUCCAGCUCCAGUAGCGUAUAUUAAAGUUGUUGCAGCUAAAAAGCUCGUAGUUGGAUCUCGGGUCGUCGGUAGGGGUUCAGGUUCAUGCCUGCUUACUCCUGUCGAUACCUAACUGGUGGGACGCUGUGGGUGCCCUUGACUGGGUCGCCUACUGCACCCGCUCAAUUUACUUUGAAAAAAUUAGAGUGUUCAAGGCAGGCUCACACGCCUGUAUAAUGGUGCAUGGAAUAAUGGAAUAGGAUCUCGGUUCUAUUUUGUUGGUUUUCGGAACUAGAGAUAAUGAUUAAGAGGGACAGACGGGGCAUUCGUAUUGCGGUGUUAGAGGUGAAAUUCUUGGAUCGCCGCAAGACGAACUACUGCGAAAGCAUUUGCCAGGAAUGUUUUCAUUA
rnacentral:rRNA from 1 species